UCUCGCACCUAGCGGCAGUCAUGGACCAGGAAAUUUUUCGAUUUAGAACAACUAGAACUGAUGUUCUCCGAUUAACAUCUUUAAGGACACUACAAAGUAACGAAUUACAUGAUACUAAUGAAAAGAAAAAUGGAAAAAAAAAAAAACAUUGGGUCCUCC